rnacentral:pre_miRNA from 19 species
CUCUCCUGGCCCAUGAAAUCAAGCGUGGGUGAGACCUGGUGCAGAACGGGAAGGCGACCCAUACUUGGUUUCAGAGGCUGCGAGAA